GUUAUAGGGUCAAGCGAACAAGUGCAUGUGGUGGAUGCCUUGGCGAUCACAGGCGAUGAAGGACGCGGUAGCCUGCGAAAAGCUUCGGGGAGCUGGCAAACAAGCUUUGAUCCGGAGAUGUCCGAAUGGGGAAACCCGGCCCGAAUGGGUCAUCCCUGACUGAAUACAUAGGUCAGGGAAGCGAACGCGGCGAACUGAAACAUCUAAGUAGCUGCAGGAACAGAAAUCAACCGAGAUUCCCAGAGUAGUGGCGAACGAAAUGGGAAGAGCCUUGUACUCUUUAGCAGCAUUGUUAGCAGAACGGGAUGGAAAGCCCGGCCAUAGCAGGUGAUAGCCCUGUAUGCGAAAACAGCGUUGUGGAACUAGGUGUACGACAAGUAGGGCGGGACACGUGAAAUCCUGUCUGAAGAUGGGGGGACCAUCCUCCAAGGCUAAAUACUCGUGAUCGACCGAUAGUGAACCAGUACCGUGAGGGAAAGGCGAAAAGAACCCCGGGAGGGGAGUGAAAUAGAUCCUGAAACCGCAUGCAUACAAACAGUCGGAGCCUGGAAACGGGUGACGGCGUACCUUUUGUAUAAUGGGUCAGCGACUUACAUUCAGUGGCAAGCUUAACCGAUUAGGGAAGGCGUAGCGAAAGCGAGUCCGAAUAGGGCGUUCAGUCGCUGGGUGUAGACCCGAAACCAGACGAUCUAUCCAUGGCCAGGUUGAAGGUGCGGUAACACGUACUGGAGGACCGAACCCACUAACGUUGAAAAGUUAGGGGAUGAGCUGUGGAUAGGGGUGAAAGGCUAAACAAGUCUGGAAAUAGCUGGUUCUCUCCGAAAACUAUUUAGGUAGUGCCUCGUGUCUCACCUUCGGGGGUAGAGCACUGUCAUGGUUGGGGGGUCUAUUGCUGAUUACCCCGCCAUAGCAAACUCCGAAUACCGAAGAGUGCAAUCACGGGAGACAGACAUCGGGUGCUAACGUCCGGUGUCAAGAGGGAAACAACCCAGACCGCCAGCUAAGGUCCCUAAGAUUGGCUAAGUGGGAAACGAAGUGGGAAGGCUAAAACAGUCAGGAGGUUGGCUUAGAAGCAGCCAUCCUUUAAAGAAAGCGUAAUAGCUCACUGAUCGAGUCGUCCUGCGCGGAAGAUGUAACGGGGCUAAGCCAGUCACCGAAGCUGCGGAUGC
rnacentral:rRNA from 1 species